rnacentral:rRNA from 1 species
GAUGAACGCUGGCGGCGUGCUUAACACAUGCAAGUCGAACGGUGAACGAGGGAGCUUGCUCCCUCCGGAUCAGUGGCGAACGGGUGAGUAACACGUGAGCAAUCUGCCCCGAACUCUGGGAUAAGCGCUGGAAACGGCGUCUAAUAGCGGAUACGAUGCGCGAAGGCAUCUUCUGCGCGUGGAAAGAAUUUCGGUUCGGGAUGAGCCAGCGGCCUAUCAGCUAGUUGGGGAGGUAACGGCUCACCAAGACGACGACGGGUAGCCGGCCUGAGAGGGUGACCGGCCACACUGGGACUGAGACACGGCCCAGACUCCUACGGGAGGCAGCAGUGGGGAAUAUUGCACAAUGGGCGCAAGCCUGAUGCAGCAACGCCGCGUGAGGGACGACGGCCUUCGGGUUGUAAACCUCUUUUAGUAGGGAAGAAGCGAAAGUGACGGUACCUGCAGAAAAAGCACCGGCUAACUACGUGCCAGCCGCCGCGGUAACAC